AUGGUUGUGGCUCAGUGGUAGAGCACUUGCCUAGCAUGUGUGAGGCACUGGGUUCAAUUCUCAGCACCACA
rnacentral:tRNA from 1 species